rnacentral:tRNA from 1 species
GAUAUAGUUCAGUGGUAGAACACUUGUCUAGCACAUGCAAAGCCCUGGGUUGGAUUCCCAGAUCA